CUACACGACCGUACCGCAAACCGACACUGGUGCGCGAGAUGAGUAUUCUAAGGCGCUUGAGAGAACUCAGGAGAAGGAACUCGGCAAAUUGACACCGUAACUUCGGAAGAAGGUGUGCCUUUAGUAGGUGAACCUGUACAAGGGGAGCCCAAUGAGGUUGCAAAAAAUCGGUGGCUGCGACUGUUUAAUAAAAACACAGCACUCUGCAAACACGAAAGUGGACGUAUAGGGUGUGACGCCUGCCCGGUGCUGGAAGAUUAAAUGAUGGGGUGCAAGCUCUUGAUUGAAGUCCCAGUAAACGGCGGCCGUAACAAUAACGGUCCUAAGGUAGCGAAAUUCCUUGUCGGGUAAGUUCCGACCUGCACGAAUGGCGUAACGAUGGCCACACUGUCUCCUCCUGAGACUCAGCGAAGUUGAAAUGUUUGUGAUGAUGCAAUCUCCCCGCGGAAAGACGGAAAGACCCCAUGAACCUUUACUGUAGCUUUGUAUUGGACUUUGAACAGAUCUGUGUAGGAUAGGUGGGAGGCUUUGAAGUGUGGUCGCUAGAUCGCAUGGAGCCAACGUUGAAAUACCACCCUGGUGUGUUUGAGGUUCUAACCUAGGCCCGUAAUCCGGGUCGGGGACAGUGCAUGGUAGGCAGUUUGACUGGGGCGGUCUCCUCCCAAAGCGUAACGGAGGAGUUCGAAGGUACGCUAGGUACGGUCGGACAUCGUGCUAAUAGUGCAAUGGCAUAAGCGUGCUUAACUGCGAGACUGACAAGUCGAGCAGAUGCGAAAGCAGGACAUAGUGAUCCGGUGGUUCUGUAUGGAAGGGCCAUCGCUCAACGGAUAAAAGGUACUCUGGGGAUAACAGGCUGAUACCGCCCAAGAGUUCAUAUCGACGGCGGUGUUUGGCACCUCGAUGUCGGCUCAUCUCAUCCUGGGGCUGUAGCCGGUCCCAAGGGUAUGGCUGUUCGCCAUUUAAAGAGGUACGUGAGCUGGGUUUAAAACGUCGUGAGACAGUUUGGUCCCUAUCUUCCGUGGGCGCUGCAGAUUUGAGGAAGCCUGCUCCUAGUACGAGAGGACCGGAGUGGACACACCUCUGGUGUAUCGGUUGUCACGCCAGUGGCAUUGCCGAGUAGCUAUGUGUGGAAGAGAUAACCGCUGAAAGCAUCUAAGCGGGAAACUCGUUUCAAGAUGAGAUCUGCCGGGGCCUUGAGCCCCCUAAAGAGUCGUUCAAGACCAGGACGUUGAUAGGUCGGGUGUGGAAGCGCAGUAAUGCGUUAAGCUAACCGAUACUAAUUGCUCGUGCGGCUUGACC
rnacentral:rRNA from 1 species